AACGAACGCUGGCGGCAUGCCUAACACAUGCAAGUCGAACGAAGCCUUCGGGCUUAGUGGCGCACGGGUGCGUAACGCGUGGGAAUCUGCCCUUGGGUUCGGAAUAACAGUUAGAAAUGACUGCUAAUACCGGAUGAUGUCUUCGGACCAAAGAUUUAUCGCCCAAGGAUGAGCCCGCGUAGGGUUAGGUAGUUGGUGGGGUAAUGGCCCACCAAGCCGACGAUCCUUAGCUGGUCUGAGAGGAUGAUCAGCCACACUGGGACGGCGACACGGCCCAGACUUCUACGGAAGACAGCAGUGGGGAAUAUUGGACAAUGGGCGAAAGCCUGAUCCAGCAAUGCCGCGUGAGUGAUGAAGGCCUUAGGGUUGUAAAGCUCUUUUACCAGGGAUGAUAAUGACAGUACCUGGAGAAUAAGCUCCGGCUAACUCCGUGCCAGCCGCCGCAGUAA
rnacentral:rRNA from 1 species